rnacentral:rRNA from 1 species
UGCAAGUCGAACGGUAGCAGGAAGUGCUUGCACUUCGCUGACGAGUGGCGGACGGGUGAGUAAUGCUUGGGAACUUGCCUUUAGGUGGGGGAUAACAGUUGGAAACGACUGCUAAUACCGCAUAAUGUCUACGGACCAAAGGGGGCUUCGGCUCCCGCCUAGAGAGAGGCCCAAGUGAGAUUAGCUAGUUGGUGGGGUAAAGGCCUACCAAGGCAACGAUCUCUAGCUGUUCUGAGAGGAAGAUCAGCCACACUGGGACUGAGACACGGCCCAGACUCCUACGGGAGGCAGCAGUGGGGAAUAUUGCACAAUGGGGGAAACCCUGAUGCAGCCAUGCCGCGUGUGUGAAGAAGGCCUUCGGGUUGUAAAGCACUUUCAGUUGUGAGGAAAGGUUGGUAGUUAAUACCUGCCAGCUGUGACGUUAACAACAGAAGAAGCACCGGCUAACUCCGUGCCAGCAGCCGCGGUAAUACGGAGGGUGCGAGCGUUAAUCGGAAUUACUGGGCGUAAAGCGCACGCAGGCGGCUUGUUAAGCUAGAGGUGAAAGCCCCGCGCUCAACGUGGGAACUGCCUUUAGAACUGGCAGGCUAGAGUCUUGGAGAGGGGAGUGGAAUUCCAGGUGUAGCGGUGAAAUGCGUAGAUAUCUGGAGGAACAUCAGUGGCGAAGGCGGCUCCCUGGCCAAAGACUGACGCUCAUGUGCGAAAGUGUGGGUAGCGAACAGGAUUAGAUACCCUGGUAGUCCACACCGUAAACGCUGUCUACUAGCUGUUUGUGUAUUUAAUACGUGAGUAGCGAAGCUAACGCGCUAAGUAGACCGCCUGGGGAGUACGGCCGCAAGGUUAAAACUCAAAUGAAUUGACGGGGGCCCGCACAAGCGGUGGAGCAUGUGGUUUAAUUCGAUGCAACGCGAAGAACCUUACCUACUCUUGAC